CUUGAGCCGAAGGCAGGCGCUUAACCAACUGAGCCACCCAGGAGCCCCUCUCUUCCACGUUAAGCAACGUGAAUGACAGGACAUGAAAAGAAACUGAAAAUAUUGGAAAAUCACAGUGUCUCCUCUCAGAUGUCACCAUCACCCUUGUCUUACCGCCACAGCUUGAAUUUAAGUCAUGUCACACGAACGCAAUGAUCAGCGUGUCCUGUUCCUCCAAAAGUUCAACAGAGUUCCCAUGUGGCCCAGCACGUGCUAUGAUGUGGAUGAACAUUUUAGAUAAUUGCCGAGGGAAAGAAGCCAGACACAAAAGGCCCCAAACAGUAAUUCAUGCUUCAGCAGGGCCGAAACAGUCUUGGAAAAGAACAGAGUCAGAGGAGUCACACUUCCUGAUUUGAACUUACUACAAAGCUGCGGUGGCAUUCUGCGUCAAGACUAUGUGGUUCCAUCAAUGGAUUGGACUUGACAGUCCAGAAAUAAGCCCAUAUAUUUAUGGGUAAGUGAUUUUCAGUGAAGGUGUCAGGACAAAUCAAUGAGGAAAUAAUAAUCUUUCAACAAAUGAUGCUGGGACAACUGGAUGUCUAACAUGCAAAAGAAUGAAUUUACACCCCUUGACUAAAAUUAAGUCAAAAUGAUCAAAGACCUAAUGUAAGAGACUAUAAAACUGGCAGAAGAAAACAUACGGGUUAGUCUCUUUGAACUUGGAGGAGAUGCUUUCUUAGAUACGACAGCUAAAGCACAAUCAAUCAAUCAAUCAAUCAAAUUGGAUAUCAUCGAAAUUAAAAACUUUUGGGGCACCUGGGUGGCUCAGUGGGUGAGGGUCCUGGAAUGGAUGGAGCCCUGCAUUUGGCUCCCUGCUCAGAGGGGAGUCUGCUUCUCCCUCUGCCCUUCCCCCCAACUCAUGCUCUCUCUCAAACAAAUAAAUAAAAUCUUUUUAAAAAAAUUUAAAACUUUUGUGCUUCAAGG
rnacentral:lncRNA from 1 species